UGGGAUAACUCAGUUGGUAGAACAGGAGACUCUUACUGUCAGGGUCAUGGGUUCGAGCCCCACGUUGGCCUAA